UCGGAUAUGGUGUAACGGCUAACAUGGCUGUCUUUCAACCGCUACAGCGGGUUGAACACAGCAGCCCCGGGUUCGACUCCCGGUAUCCGAA
rfam:Pisolithus microcarpus 441 unplaced genomic scaffold scaffold_5, whole genome shotgun sequence.